ensembl:lncRNA
GUUCCAUGUUCUAUGCUCCGUUCACCACAGCAUAAGAACACAGUUUGUUGCACAUCCAGUCAGUCAGUCAGUUUCAAACCUCGCAUCUACACACUGAAGUUUUCCGGACCUACACUUGCAGAAAGCAACCAUGUAAUGCCUCAGGAGUCUGUAGAGGGGACGAAGACGCAUUCUGCUGCACUUAACAGAGCUCAAGACCAACAGGACGCCAUCAGAACGCCACGUCACCGGGACGCCAUCAGGACGCCGCGUCAAGCCCUCAGGAGCAAAUCCAGAUCUACUCAUGACACACACACACACACAGAUAUUAUUAUAUUAUUUAAUAUUAUUAUUAUUGUUAAAUAUGUCGUCUGUUUAUUAUUUUAACAAUGAAAAUACAUUUUAAUAAAAAUAAAACCAAAUUAAU